rnacentral:rRNA from 1 species
UACGUAGGCAGCAAGCGUUGUUCGGAGUUACUGGGCGUAAAGGGUGCGUAGGCGGCUUUUUAAGUUUGGUGUGAAAUCUCCCGGCUCGACUGGGAGGGUGCGCCGAAUACUGAGAGGCUAGAGUGUGGGAGAGGAAAGUGGAAUUCCUGGUGUAGCGGUGAAAUGCGCAGAUGUCAGGAGGAACACCGGUGGCGAAGGCGGGUCUCUGGGCCGAUACUGACGCUGAGGAGCGAAAGCGUGGGGAGCGAACAGG